rnacentral:lncRNA from 1 species
UCACCUUUUCGUUAAAAAAAAAAAAACUUCAAAUAACCCCUAUAUAGUUUCGCACUUUCUCAUUUUAGUACCCUGUGAUUUAAAGUAUAUCAAGUUAACAUUCUGUGGUUUCGCACUUUCUCACUUUAGUAACCUGUGGUUUUAAGUGUAUCAAGUUAGUAACCUGUGGUUUCGCACUUUCUCACUUUAGUACCAUAUGGUUUAAUAUUUCGUUAAAUUAUAUAUCCCGAAAUGAAUAAUAAAAAGAAAAAAUUGAAACCACAAACUACUAAUUUGAUACACUUAAAAUCAUAGGGUACUAAAGUGAGAAAGUACGAAACCGUAGGAUAAUAACCUGUUACGCUUUAAAAAACAAGAUACUAAAAUGAAAAAAUGCGAAACAUAGAGAUAUUUAAAGUUUUUCAAAAAAAAAAAUGAUUCAUGGGCGG